UUGCCCCCAAAUUGGAAAACCCUAACAAUCGCACAUCAUCUGCCUCUAUCUUGUAUAGGUCGGUCAGCGGCAAACCACCACGCAGAAGCUUUCAAUCAUCAUCAUCAACUGGCAACACAAACAGAAUGCGAAGUGGGUGCUAUUUCACUGUACUUCCUUUAUUAAAGAAGUGUUUCAAACAUCAUUUUUGUUAUUAUUUAAUGCUUAAUUUGGAUUCUUGACUUGAAAUUGAUUUUUUGGAGUGCCAUAUAUCUUCUCUUUGUGGUGAAUUUCAUGAUUGUUGUAGGCUAUUUGUUCUGUUUGUGACACUGAUUGCAUAAAGUUUCUCUAUGUUAGAUUUACUUUUGGUGUUUUACAUAGAACAUGUUUGAUGAAAUGUCACAUAAGCACCACAAUUUAAAAACCAACAAUCCCUUGCCACAUAGAUUUUGUUUAUUGUUAGGCUGUUGCUGACAAGCAAAUACAGAAAAAAAAUGUUUUCUUCAAAGAUUUAAGGCCUAUGAAAGGUCGUUUAGAACUCUGUGAAUUGGUUUGUGGUCUCCUACUAUCUGAAUUCGAGUGCUUCCAGGUAGUCUUUUGUGAGAAACAAUCGGUCAAAAGGCCAUUACAUUCAGGGUGUGGAGCUUACUGAUUCAUUUGUUGAUGUAUGCAAGGUACAUUUCAAUUUCAUUUAGUUGAAUGUUAUACAGUUAGUUUUGAAUGAAAGUAGUUGUUUGUAAUGGUAUUUUUAAUGGCACGUGAUUUUAGGUAUUACUAAUUUAAUUGUUGCAUAUCAUUUUGAGGUUUUAUCCACUGUGUGUAUUAUGUGUUAUUCAUGAUUUUGGGGGUGGGGGUGAACCUUGAGUUUUUGCUUUAUGUAAUCAUCAGUUUAAGCUAUUGUCAUAUUUAAAAUUGAUUGUGUUUAAAAUAACUAGUGGGUUUUUUUCUUGUUACAAGAAGGCAAUUAAAGGUCUGUAAUGAAACACUGAAUUUGGUUAUGCUCAGUUUUGACCAAUUUUAAUCAACUGAACGGAGUGAGCUCUGAACCGAUGACUCUUAUUUGUUACAAGUGAUCCGUAUUAACAUUUUGAAACCCUAACUUGGCCGAUUGAUAAUUCAUUUAGGCUGUCUAUGGUUACUUGAUCAAUUUUCCUUAGUUUUUCUAUAAAAAUGUUUGCCUGCUACUGUAAAACUUUAUUAUUUUUUUUUGUAAAAUGAUUUUUUGCACUAUUAUGACUAGAGUUUAAUAAAUAUUUGUUGAAAACUAAAAUAUAGGUCGGAGAUGAAGUUUUCCUCAAAAGCAUUCUAAACUCUACCGAGACUGUAGCAAGAGGAAGGGUCCAGAGCUUGGACCCAAAUGAUCUAGUUGGUGGUACAGAGAUUGGACCAGAAUGGUGUGAGGUAAACGUUCAAGUACCAAUAAAAAAGAUGAAAACUUGGUAAGACCAUAUGGUUUAUAUUCUACAAUUCAAGAUUGUAUUGGUGCAUCUAUCGCAUGGCCUCAUCUCGGUAGUCCAUGAGAAUUGAGGACGCAUGAUGACUCAAGAUUUUAUGCUUCUAUUUAUUUAAUUGCUUCUAAUUUCUUUGUUAAAUGUUAAGACUUUAUGUUAGAUAAUGUUAUAACUUAUUUAUGGUUAGUGUUUGUGUUAUGAACAUGCUUAUUUGAAAUAUAAUGAAGUUUUAUUUCUU
rnacentral:lncRNA from 1 species